AGAGUUUGAUCAUGGCUCAGAUUGAACGCUGGCGGCAGGCUUAACACAUGCAAGUCGAACGGUAACAGGGAGGAGCUUGCUUCUUUGCUGACGAGUGGCGGACGGGUGAGUAAUGCUUGGGAAUCUGGCUUAUGGAGGGGGAUAACUACGGGAAACUGUAGCUAAUACCGCGUAAUAUCUUCGGAUUAAAGGGUGGGACUUUCGGGCCACCUGCCAUAAGAUGAGCCCAAGUGGGAUUAGGUAGUUGGUGGGGUAAAGGCCUACCAAGCCGACGAUCUCUAGCUGGUCUGAGAGGAUGACCAGCCACACUGGAACUGAGACACGGUCCAGACUCCUACGGGAGGCAGCAGUGGGGAAUAUUGCACAAUGGGGGGAACCCUGAUGCAGCCAUGCCGCGUGAAUGAAGAAGGCCUUCGGGUUGUAAAGUUCUUUCGGUGAUGAGGAAGGUGUUUGUUUUAAUAGAGCAAGCAAUUGACGUUAGUCACAGAAGAAGCACCGGCUAACUCCGUGCCAGCAGCCGCGGUAAUACGGAGGGUGCGAGCGUUAAUCGGAAUGACUGGGCGUAAAGGGCACGCAGGCGGUGACUUAAGUGAGAUGUGAAAGCCCCGAGCUUAACUUGGGAAUUGCAUUUCAUACUGGGUCGCUAGAGUAUUUUAGGGAGGGGUAGAAUUCCACGUGUAGCGGUGAAAUGCGUAGAGAUGUGGAGGAAUACCGAAGGCGAAGGCAGCCCCUUGGGAAUAUACUGACGCUCAUGUGCGAAAGCGUGGGGAGCAAACAGGAUUAGAUACCCUGGUAGUCCACGCUGUAAACGCUGUCGAUUUGGGGAUUGGGCUUUAAGCUUGGUGCCCGUAGCUAACGUGAUAAA
rnacentral:rRNA from 1 species